rnacentral:misc_RNA from 1 species
GUGUUAUUCAGUUAUCCACUCACUCAAACGCAAGCAAAGUGAAGUGGUUUGAUGUCGACUUUCAGAUAACAUUUGGAUGUAAAUAACAUAAGCAACAUAGAGGGCCGGCUCCCAAAGGUGGGCCCACCCCCUACAAGCAAGUGCACAAUAAGAUGAGGGGUAAAUCGAAAGAAAAAGGCCCGAAGGAGUGCACGCGGUGCCCAAAGGCUCCCAGCAACAUCCCACGAAGGCCAAUGGAAUUUCGAUAAUGAUCCUUCCGCAGGUUCACCUACGGAAA